UGGGGAAUAUUGGACAAUGGGCGCAAGCCUGAUCCAGCCAUACCGCGUGUGUGAAGAAGGCCUUCGGGUUGUAAAGCACUUUAAGCAGGGAGAAAAAGCUAUAGGUUAAUACCCUACAGCCUUGAUGUUACCUGCAGAAUAAGCACCGGCUAAUUCCGUGCCAGCAGCCGCGGUAAUACGGAAGGUGCAAGCGUUAAUCGGAAUUACUGGGCGUAAAGCGCGCGUAGGUGGUUUGUUAAGUUGGAUGUGAAAGCCCUGGGCUCAACCUAGGAACUGCAUCCAAAACUAAUUCACUAGAGUACGAUAGAGGGAGGUAGAAUUCAUAGUGUAGCGGUGGAAUGCGUAGAUAUUAUGAAGAAUACCGGUGGCGAAGGCGGCCUCCUGGAUCUGUACUGACACUGAGGUGCGAAAGCGUGGGUAGCGAACAGG
rnacentral:rRNA from 1 species